CAGGUGUGUCCAAUACUGUCAUCAUGUGUGUACCUGUAGCACUAUAUCCAGGUGUGUCCAAUAUUGUCAUCAUGUGUGUUCCUGUAGCUCUAUAUCCAGGUGUGUCCAAUACUGUCAUCUUGUGUGUUUGCCUGUAGCUCUAUAUCCAGGUGUGUCAAAUACUGUCAUCGAGUGUGUUUGCCUGUAGGUCUAUAUCCAGAUGUACCCAAUACUGUCAUCAUGUG